GUUUAACUUCUACAUUAGAUGUAUUUAAAC
rnacentral:other from 1 species